CAGUAACGAGUCGAACUCGUUUUCCCAGGUCGCGCCGGUGCGGCGGCAGACGGCGGCGGAAGAAGAGGGGAGCGGCAGCGAUGACGAGGCGGGGGAGGCUAAUUUUUGGGCUACGACGUCGAAUGCCUGGGAACGGCUGAUCUCCAAUAACGAAUCGAACUCGUUUUCGAAAGUCCCGCCGCCGGCGGAUAGUGGCGGCGACGAGGC
rnacentral:lncRNA from 1 species